rnacentral:rRNA from 1 species
UACGGAGGGUGCAAGCGUUAAUCGGAAUUACUGGGCGUAAAGCGUGCGCAGGCGGUUUGUUAAGUCCGUUGUGAAAGCCCCGAGCUCAACUUGGGAAUUGCAGUGGAUACUGGCAGGCUGGAGUACGGUAGAGGAAGGUGGAAUUCCCGGUGUAGCAGUGAAAUGCGCAGAUAUCAGGAGGAACACCAAUGGCGAAGGCAGCUCGCUGGGACGGUACUGACGCUGAGGCGCGAAAGCGUGGGGAGCAAACAGG